CUUCUUCUUGGAAGGACUCAUGUCUGUUCAAGAGGGCUUCAAUCCUCAAUCCACUGAUAUAUUUGUCGCCAGUUUUCCAAAAACUGGCACAACUUGGCUUAAGGCCCUCACUUUUGCUAUUGUCACACGAUCCCGUUUAAGUGGUUCAACAACUAGUUCUUUACUUACCAAGAUGCCACAUGACUGUGUUCCUUUUUUGGAAUAUGACCUUGCUCAAAACCCCAGUAAUCGGGACUUGGCAAUUCCUCUGGUAUCUACUCAUGUUCCUUACACUUGUUUACCUAAAUCUAUCAUUUCUUCUAGUUGCAAGAUUAUUUACAUUUGCAGGGACGCAAAGGAUGCUUUUGUUUCUUUGUGGUACUUUCUUGCCAGGCUGCAAAUGUCGAAAAAUGUUGAACCUCUUCCUCUGGAAGGGGCAUUUGAGUUGUUUUGCAAUGGAAUUGCAAAUUUUGGACCAUAUUGGGACCAUGUUUUAGGGUAUUGGAGAGCAAGCUUCGAGUUCCCUGAGAAGAUAUUGUUCUUGACAUAUGAGGAAAUGAAGCAAGACACAGCUGCUCAUGUUAAGAAAUUAGCUGAGUUCAUGGGUUGUUCUUUCACCUUAGAGGAAGAGGAGGGAGGGGAGGUGCAAAAGAUAAUAAGCAUGUGUAGUUUUGAGAAGUUGAGCAGCUUGGAGGUCAAUAAAAAUGGGAAGCACCGUCCGGACACAUCACUUGCUAUUCAAAACAGUGUAUACUUCAGGAGAGGUGAGAUAGGCGACUGGGCAAAUCACUUGACACCUGAAAUGGGAGCACGUCUAGAUGACAUAAUGGAGCAGAAACUCAAGGGUUCAGGCUUGAAGCUGCCCAGGUGACUGUGCCUAGGGUCCCAUUUGCUUAUGAUUAUUGCCCAAGCGGGUUCAUCAAAAGCUGUUAUCAACAUCUCGUGAAACAGAAACUGUGUAUCCCAAUAAAUACCCUCUUUGUUCAUCUCUUGUAUUUCCUAUCAAGUAUUCACAUUUUGUGAAUCAUCCAUGUCAAUAAGCAAUGUUCUUUUGUGAAUCUGUGUUUGUGACUUUCAUUGAUUUCCUUGCAUGCUUGUAAGAAUUCAAAAUGGGAUUCGUUUUUUUAUUUAUUUAUUUAACACAAGUGCAUGCAUUCCAUUAAUCAGUUGGAUAAAAAAUAAAUUUACUCUAAUAUAUAAUAUUAGAGUGUUUUCUUCACAGAAAUUGCAGUGUGUUUUCUUCACAGUUAUACAUGUUUUAAAAGAACCGAGACAACCCAUACAUGAGGGCGGAGCAAAGACCAACCGAGACAACCAUCCAUUAAGAUUGUUGAAUUGCAGAUCAAAUGAACGUAGGCGGCACAUCUGCUGGAAGGAUCUCGAAAUGCCUUGUAAUUGGUUAAAAUAAAGAUCAAGAUCUGUAGGAGAACUCGUGUUUUCCACUCCUAAAAUAAGCCCAGUUGCCGGCUUCAUGUGCAACAGAGGCACAUAGAGAAUCUGAAAGCAGUUUUUAUGCACUAUCAGCAGAAUAAUUUGAUCAGUCAGAAUGAAAACCCCCCCCCCCAGGCUCACAAAUCUUCUUACUUCAAACAAAUCUUUUGGAACCGAUAUAUAUGUCGAGUGAUGGCUUGAUUUAUACCGGAGAUUGUGUUGGAAAAUUAAAGAAGCAUGGCUUAAUUUGUACCUUGGAUGCGCAAAUUGAUUACAGGGAAAAAAUGACAGAAAGUGAGUUGCAGGGAAUGAAAAAGGCAUUAGUAAACUCAACACCUUUCAGGGUAUCGUUCCUUGGUUUGCUCCCUUUUAUUUCUUAUUUUGUUUUUCCUGCCAUUGUCUAAUGUUUUUCUAACUCGCAGUCUGGUCUCUGCAGAGAAUGAGAAAGCACAAACUCUUUAAGAGAAGAUAUUCUCCGGCAAUGGCAUCAAACAGAAAAGUCCGACGUCAACUAAGUGAGUGUAUAGCGUUGCUGCUGUGUUUACAGAAAAACACCAUUGUCAUGUGUUUGGUUACGGUCUAAACAUAAUUUUUUAUCGGUGAGACCCAUUACCAUUUGCAUUUAAACCGCAAGAUAACCAGAAGCAACUUUAAGCUGCGUUUUGUUUUGAGUUGCAAAUUGUGUUAUAAAUAGAGGCCACAAGAAAAAGAGCAGAAACAGAGCAGUGAAUAGUGAUUAGUGGAGAGCAACUCCCUCUCACCACUGACCUCCGCCAGCCACUGCUUUUUCUCUUCUCCUUCUCUUCUCGUUCUCCUUCGUCUUCUGCAUUCUCUACUGUUCACGUGAACAAUGGAGAGUGGAGAGCAGCUCACCAUCAACCCCUGCUGUUUCCACCGCCAGCCACUGCUCUUCCUCUUCCCCUUCUCCUUCGUCUUUUACGUUCUCCACUGUUAAUGUGAACAGUGGAGAGCAGCUCACCACCGGCCUUCACUAUUUCCACUGCCAGCCACUGCUCUUCCUCUUCCCCUUCCCCUUCUCCUUCCCCUUCUCCUUCUCAUUCAUCUUCUGCAUUCUCCACUGUUCAUGGCCGGACUGGGCCUAGCCCAAACCUAAAUGUAUUUGACUGGGUCCGACCCAGUAAAAUAAAAAAAAAUCCAAAUUUUUUUUCUUAAAUAUUGUGUUUUAUUUGAAAAACUAGUGUUUAAAAUUAUUCAAUGACACUACAUAAUUAUAUUAGAAGGAGAUCGCACGAUGACGUAGCAUGUGCAGAAUUUGAUUGCAAUCCUAAUUUUUUUCCUAAUGAUAUUUUACAUGAUGUAAUGAUAUCUUACCUGAUGUUGGUGCAAGUUCAGGAAGCCAUGGAAACUGUAGUUCUUGUCGGAUGGAUUUCGUAUAUGAUUGAAUUGCAAAUAGUUUAAUGGAACAAUAAAAAAUACUUUAUAUAAAGUAUUGUUUAUUUCAUGAUGUAAUAGCAGUAGUUAAAUCUAUAAUAUUUCAAUUAAAAACCAUCAAUAUUAAUAUAUGUCUUUUUUAGUUAUUUUAUAACCUCAAUUUGAAAAGUAUUCUUUAACCAAACACAUUAAACUACUUUUUGUUCAACCUCAAUUUCAACCACAGUUUUAACCAAACAUAUAUUUUUCCAAACUAAUCUAAACUAAAAGUAUUUUUUAUAAAAACAAUUUUUUUCAAACCACAACAGCUACCACAAUACCAAACACACACAAAAAAAACUGUACUGAUAAGUAAGUUACAAUGCCACCACUGAUUUAGGAUCUGCUUUAGAUCUUAUAAGGUGAAAGUUGAAAGCUAGCAAGAAUCGUCACAGAGAUGAACAGAGAAGUGAAUAGAAUUAGAGGGAGAUACUGCAAUGCAGAGGAAGAAGAAAAACAUUUCUGUGUAUAUUCACUUAUAUUUUUUUACCAGCGCUGUUACAUUCAUUUUAUAUGAACCAAGAUGAGAAGCUUGUUUACGUAAUCUAAUCAACAGUAACAGACUUUGUUAACUGUCUAACAAUAUUAACAAACUUUCUAACCAUUGUAUUCUCUAUUCUCUUGACAGGUGGCAGAAGCAGAGCCUUUGAUAUCUUGACAUUCCCCCUCAAUCACAAGCGUGAAGGAACCAAGCAUAAGAUUGGAACAGUGACGCCGAAAUAAAGGAGUGGAAAGACCUUUAGUUAGGAUAUUAGCAAAUUGAUCGGUAGAAGAGACAUGUUGAACCAACAAAUCACCUUUGACAACACGUUCUCAAACAAAAUGAUAAUCAAUUUGGAGAUGCUUCAUUCUGGAAUGGAAGACUGGAUUGGAAGCAAGGGAAAUAGUUGAGAUAUUGUCAUAAUGAAUUAACGGAGGGAUAUGUAAAGGAAUGUGAAUGUCACAGAGCAGUUGGCGAAUCCAGGCAAGUUUGGCAGCAGCAAUUGCUAGAGCCCGAUACUCAACCUCAGUAGAUGAUCGAGAAACAAUAUGUUGUUUCUUAGAAGCCCAAGAAAUAGGACUGGAGCCGAGGAAAACAAUAGAGCCAGAGACAGAACGUCGAUCAUUGGGAUCGCCAACCCAGUCAGCAUCACUAUAAGCUUGUCGAUUAAGAAGACUAGGCUGAAAAUGAAGGCCAAAAUCAAGGGUACCUUUAAGAUACCGCAAGAUUCUUUUGACAGCCACAACAUAAGAAUGCAUGGGAUUAUGCAUAAAUUGACAAGCUCGGUUCAUAGAGAAAGCAAUAUCGAGCCUGGUGAACGUGAGAUACUGCAAUGCGCCAACUAUGCUCCGAUAUUGUUGUGGAUGAGAGUAGGCUUAGCCAUCAUCUUUGAGCAAAUGAUGAUGAGGAAGACAAGAAGUAUCAAAUGAUUUGGAAUUUUGUAAAUCAACUCUAGCAAGUAAGUCUGUGAUAUAACUUAUCUAGGACACAAACAAACCAGAAGGGAGAUAAGAGAUUUGCAAUCCCAAAAAAUAAUUCAACUUACCGGUAUCCUUCAUAUCAAAUUUCUGAGUCAAGGCAGCAAUGACUGAAGAAAGAAGAGAAUAAUGACUGCUAGUAAGAAUGAUAUCAUCUAAAUAGAGUAGCAAUAUCACAACACUAAGAGAAGAAUGCUGAACAAACAAAGAGGGAUCGACAAGAGAUGCUUGAAACCCCAAACAUGGUAAAAAAACUGGUAAAACGUUCAUUCCAGGCACGAGGAGCCUGUUUAAGGCCAUACAAGGACUUUCUUAGUCUGCAAACAAAGUUAGCAGGAUAAAGCUUACUCAUAAAACCUUGGGGUUGAGUCAUAUAAACCUCCUCAUGAAGAAUACCAUGCAAAAAGGCAUUGGUAACGUCAAGCUACCGUAAGGACCAGUUAAACUGAGCUGCAAGAGUAAGAAUUAAACGAACCAUAGUAGGUUUUAUGACAGGACUGAAAGUUUCAUUAUAGUCAAUUCCUUCCUCUUGAAUGAAACCCUUAGCCACCAAUCGAGCUUUAUGCCUAGCUAUAGAACCAUCCGCAUGCUUCUUGAGUCGGUAGACCCAUUUACAGCCAACAAGAUUCUUAGCAGGUGGGAGAGGCACCAAAUCCUAAGUACCUUAUGCAUGAAGAGCAUCAAUUUCCUCCCACAUAGCAGACUGCCAUUCUGGAAAGGUUGAAGCAGCCUUGAAGGAACUGGGUUCAACCUGAGAAAAAGCAACAGACUAUACAGAGGUAAAGUAAGCCUUUCUUUUGGAAAUACCAUUCUUAAACCUGAUGGUCAUUGGAUGAAGAUUCAUCGGUGAAAGAGGUAAGACCACACACAGAUUCUCAGGUUGGAAGUCAGGAUCAAAUCUAGUGACAAAGAAGCGAUUGGUUUGAAUAAAAAAACAGAAAUACCCUUUAUACUGACCAGCAUACCCCAGAAAAAUACAAGUGGAAGUUUUGGGCUGAAGUUUGUUAGUAUUAUAAGGCUUGAGUAAAGGAAAACAAGCACAACCAAAAAUCCACAAAUGAGUAAUGACCAGUGGAGAACCAUAUAACAGGAAAUAAGGUGAUUUGAGUUGAAGAAUUUGACAGGGCAUUCUAUUAAUCAAAUAAAUAGAAGUAGCACAAGCACGAAACCAAAAUUUUGGAGGUAAAUGGGCAGUUUGUAACAGAGUGAUGGCUGUUUCUAAAAUAUACCUAUGUUUGCGCUCAGCAAGGCCAUUCUGUUUCGGAGUAUAGGGACAGGACAUUUGAUGGACAAUACCCUUGGUAAAGAGGUAAUGUUUGAAUUUAGUACUAAGAUACUCACCACCCCCAUCACUUUGAAAGACUCGAAGAGUAGCAGAAAAUUGAGCAACUAAAAAGGUAUGAAAGUAGGCAAAAAUGGAAUAAACCUCUCCUUUAUUGAUCAUCAGAAAAAACCAAGUAAAUCGAGUACAUUCAUCAAUGAAACUAACAUAAUAUCUGAAACCUUCAACAGAUACAGUGGGAGAAGAACCCCAAACAUCACUAUGUAUGACCUCUCAAGGUUUAACAAAUUUAACUGCGGGAUAGGGAAAAGGAAGUUUAGCAAGUUUACCCUCUAAAAAAGUGGUACAAACGAAUUUGGAUGUGUUUGAAGUGAAAGAAAUCUGGGAUUGAUUUAACAGAGUAGAGGUGACUAUGUUAGAGGGAUGACCAAAACGCUUGUGCCAGAGACUUGUGUUGACCUGUUUACCAAGAUAGCAAACUUGAUUAUUUUGAAAGAGAGAUUAUGAAGGAAACGAAAUGGAGAAAGGAAUAGGAUAUAACCCAGCUCUACACAGUCCCUUGAGAAGGACAUUUCCCAUGAAUUUGUCCUGAAUCCAAAAACCAAAAUCAUCACAAAUAAAUCGACAGUUGUUAUCUUUACACAACUUAUGAACCGAUAAUAAGUGUUGAGAUAGCUUAGGCACAUGCAAAACUUGCUUUAAUUGUAAUGAGCAUUGAUGAACAUCUAAAAUAAAAGAACCAAUAUUAGAAAUGGUCAAACUUGAACCUCCUGUAGUGGUAACAGUAUCAGAUCCUGAGAAAGGUGUAGCCAGAUUGAGUUGAGCCAAAUCAGAAGUCAUAUGUGUUGUGGUGCCAUUAUCAGCCAGCCAUAAUUGUUCAGGAGGGGAAGAAGAUGGAAAAUUGGCAUGCAUAGCACUAAGAUUACUGGAGGGAGGCCUGCCUUGAUAGCUGAAAUUACCUCUAUGAUAACAUUGAACGGCAGAGUGCCCAAAUUUUCAACAAAUUUGACAUUGAAUGGAAGUGGCAAAAGUACUUAGCAGAGUGUGGCGUUGAUAACAAUUAGCAGCUACAUGACCUUUUUUAGUACAAAUUUGACAUGUAGGAAUGUCAAUGCCAGAACCAAGAAUGCCAGGAUUAGAAGUAGGUGGAACCUAAUAAGGGCGUGGACUAGAUUGAUAAUGAUUACGUCCUCUGCCAUAACCCUUAAAAUUAAACCCCUGAUUGCCAAAGUAUCCUCCAGUAGAACCAUGAAAGCUACUGUGAUGACCAUUAAAUCCUCCAUUGAAACCAGAAGGAAAUUAAGAUGGUGGAGCAGACUUGGAGCUAGAAGGAUGAGAAUUAGAGUUACCUUUAUCAAGAGCAAGAGCCUUGCCAGGAGAUAUUUGAUGUUGAGCCAUCACUGCAGGAACAAACAGGGAAGCAGAAUAAGUUUGCUCAAGAAUGGCUUCUUCAGCUAGCAAUUGAGACCGAAAAUCUUUAAGGGAUAACACGUUGUCUCGGUCGCGAACAAUACACCUAAAGGUGUUAUAAUUAGAAGGAAGACCAUUGAGAGCCAAGAUUACAAUAUCAUCAUCUUCAAAAUAAACCCCUGCUACAGAAAGAUGGUCUCGAGCAUCUUUGAUCUUUUACAGAUAUUGAGACACAGAAUCUGAGCCCUUCUUGAUGGUUUGAAGCUCACUUUUCAUCUGAAAAAUAUGUGCCUUAGUAAUUGUGGAAAAUCUAUUCUUCAGUUGAAUCCACAUGUCAUGAGAGCUAACACAUUCAAUAACAUAGGAGAUUGCAGUUGAUGAGAGAGUAGCAAUAAUCAACUGCAUCAAUGUCCGGUCAUACAUUUUCCAAACCUGAUGAUCAUCAGUUUCAACACAUUCAAGGUCAGCAUCUGCAUCAAACCGAUUUGGACACUUUCUUGAUCCAUCAACAAAUCCUAAAAUACCAUAACUCUCAAGUAGAAUAUGCAUAUGAAAAUUCCAGAUGAGAUAAUUUGUGUCAUCCAGCUUGACUGUUACAGCUGUUGAAACUGUAGGAAGUAAACAGGUAAUAGGAGAUUGAACAAUUUAAAGUUGAGAAGUAGUCACCAUUUUAGAGUUCAAGAGAUAGCGAGGAAGAGAAUCACAUACGAUAGGCAUAGUCCCAGAUUUGAGAAGAGAGUUGAAGAAGAAUUUUUCAGUUUGACAAUAUAUCAAAUAGAUGAUAGGUAGAUCAAUUAUUAUGAAAGAAUUGGUUGAUUAAGGCGAUAAUAAUACCAGAAACAGAGAGUAGCAAGAUAUUAGAAGCAGAGAAAUCACAGGAUCACAAGAUAAUAACAAUCCUAAGCUCUGAUACCAUGAAAGCUAGCAAGAAUCAUCACAAAGAUGAACAGAGAAGUGAAUAGAAUUAGAGGGAGAUACUGCAAUGCAGAGGAAGAAGAAAAACAUUUCUGCAUAUAUUCACUUAUAUUUUUACCAACAUUGUUACAUACAUUCAUUUUAUAUGAACCAAGAUGAGAAGCUUGUUUACGUAAUCUAAUCAACAAUAACAGACUUUGUUAACUAUCUAACAAUAUUAACAAACUUUUUAACCAUUAUAUUCUUUAUUCUCUUGACAGGGCAGAAGCAGAGCCUUUGAUAUCUUGACAAAAGUAAAACACAAGGAAAUGCAUGCAUGCACACCACUAAUCUUUGAUUCUGGCGAGAACAGUGAUGACUACACUCUGAACCAAAUAGAAUUACAUUCCGAGAUGAAGAAAUUAAUAACACAGAGCAGUGCUAUAAAGCUACAUGUGAAACCAGAGAUUAAUAAGCAAUGCUGAAAAUUUUAUCAAGCAUAAGACGAGAGAAGCAUAGGACAUAUUUUUCCCACAAUUGAAUAUGUGAAUUGAGCACAGAUUUCCCUGUUGCAAACUGUUCCUAAUUUCUCAAAUGAUUAACUAGAAUACGAGUUGCACUUAAAAUUUUAAAGCAACAUAUAUGCUCUUGAUUUUUAGUGAAUUGCUGAAACAAACAUACAAGCUCGAUCACACCUCUAGAACAGAGUGACAGUUCAUGGUGACCUCAAAGACUGCAUCAAGUCCUCCAAGCUCUCGUAACUUUUCCCUAAAGCCCCCCCCAGUCUUCCUUAAUUACCAUGCCAGAUGUAUCUGAAUGAAUGCAACCCAUACAGUGAAAUGAAUAAGCAAUCAGAAAAGGAGAGAGAGAGAGUGAAAAAAUUUGUCACAAAACUAGAUAAUGGCGACCACAUAUCAAUAAUUCGAGAUAUGACGUGGGGCACUUUCAUCGUGAUUAUUGUUUGUCCAAUAAUGUUGGAUGUAUUAUUUCUUGUUAAGACUUUUUAGGUUGUGAAAAGUCCAAGAUGUAGUAUAAUAAAAUAAAUAUAACCUUUGAUUUUAUCAUUUAUAUUGAGCUGAAAUUUUGACAUACAAUUCUAAAGAUUUUGUGGUUAAAAUUUCAAGAUCUUAAAAAAAAGACCUUUAAAUAAGGAUUUAAAGUUACUAUGAGAUGGUCUUUAUUUACCUAUUUGGUAUUGUUUUUAUUUAUAUUAGGAAUUUUAAUUUAAUUAGUAUUUUAUUAUUAAAAAAUUCUAAUAAUAGAUUGAUUCUAUUAGUUAGGCAAGUUUUAAAUACAAUUUAUUUUUCUAUACAAAAUUUUAUAUCUAGAACAAAUAUAAAUAAAAAUAUUUAGUUUAUUUUUUGUUCGGGUAUUCAUAUUAUUAUUAAGAUUUUUUAAAAAUAUUUAGAGAUUUUUUUUUAUUUCGCUAUUGUGUUAGGACUAUAACCUUAAGGUUUGGAUGUUUGUGAAAGUGGAAGCGGUUACUUUUUAAAAUGUUUUUCACUUAGAAAUGCAUCAAAAUCAUAUAUAUAUUUUUUAUUUUUUAAAAUUAAUUUUUGACAUCAAAACAAUGCAAAAACACCAAAAAAUUAAUUUGAAAAAAAAUCAAAAAUUUUGAAAACCUCGAUCAAAAUGUUGUACCAAACACCCUCUUAGUUUUAUCUUAUUUUUAAAAAAUAAUUCUUGAUAUUAGCAAACAAAACAAUUUAAUAACACAAAAAAAUUAAUUUUAAAAAAUCAAAAUCUUAAAAAACUCUCGUCUAAAUGUUUGCUUUUAGUUUUAUCAUCGUUGCACUGCGUAAAGAUGCUAAAAAGAAAAUAGUUGAUAUAGCCACCUAAGUGCUGGUGGUGUUUCAGAGUGUAGUAGCGAUUGUUUUUUAAAGUGUUUUUUACUCGGAAAUGCAUUAAAAUAAUAUUUUUUUAUUUUUAAAAAAUUAUUUUUAACAUCAGCAUAUCAAAAUGAUCUGAAAAUACUGAAAAAAAUAUUAAUCUAAAUUAAAUAAAAAAAUAAAAAAAAAUCAAUCUCUUUUAAAAAUAUUUUUAAAAUGCAGAAACAAACAGGAUCUCUCAACCUGCUACAAAUAACUGCUGCAAUGGCCUUUCUUUAAUAUUUUACUUACACCAUUCUGCACAAUAUUUUCUUUUGUACAUCCAUGGAACCCUCUUUGCCUUCUACACAAAUUCAAAGCCCAUGCUAAAAACUACAAGGAAAUGAUCUCUACCUUUCUACAAGUUAAAGGCUUUUGGUACUUUCCGUCCUUCUUGGGAAGACCCAUCUCAGUUCAAGAACACUUCGAGCCUCAAUCCACUGAUAUAUUUGUCGUCAGCUUCCAAAAACGAAGGAAAUCUUUGGUUAAUGUUCUCUAAUAAGUACUAACACCUUUUCUCCUUCAACAGUGAAAUUUACGUGCCUUUCACACCUUUUUACGUUCGAACAUUUCAUUUGUUCUUGUGCUCUAAAUUCUAAAUUGAGUCUGUUUUUGUGAGUUCCAUUCUUCUAUUUAAAAGAUUAGAAAACGCAAGAUUGCAUCAAUGCUAAAUGCAAUUUCAAUAUCUGUGUGUGUGUCAAAUGCAUGGUGAUGUUACAUGAUGUGUUUGUUUUUACGUUUCAAAAAUAUUUUUUUAAAAUUAAAUUUUAUUUAUUUAUUUUUUAUUUUAAAUUAAUAUUUUUUAGUUUUUUCGGAUUAUUUUAAUUUACUGAUAUCAAAAUUAACUUUUUUAAAAUAAAAAAAAUAUUAUUUUAAUACAUUUCUGAGUAAAAAAUACUUUGAAAAGUAACUGCUACUACACUUCCAAAUAUACCCUUAAAAAAACAAAGUUAUGGAGUUGGAGGCUCUAAAUAUUCCUCAAAAUAUCAAGUCUUAAGGGCUCGGAGCUAUUAUCCAGUCUUAAAAUUUUUGCAUUUUAAAAAUAUUUUUAAAAAAAUGAAUAUUUUUUACUUUUUUUUAUUUUAAACUAUAUUUUUUUCUUUCUGUUUUUAUAUUGUUUUUAUGUAAAAAAUAAAUUUUAAAAAAUAUAAAAAUAUUUUUUUAAAAACAAUCACCAUACAAUAACAAAUAAAAUAUUAAUAUGAAAUAAAAUCUAAUUCUACCAGCAGACAGCUGAUAAGAAUACUAAAAAAGUGUAAAUUUUGACUUAAUUCAAUUAUUAGAAUUUGGGGCAGCGUAACAGUGUCAAAGAAAAUGUCAGAAAAGUAGGGCAAACAGUGCAAAUACCUUGGAUGAUGGUGACCAAAUAUUUGUAAUUUGAGACAUCUCGUUCUUGAAAAGAAAUAGUUAAUAGUGCCAAUAAUUUUUUUUUAUUAAUUUGAGGUGUUCAGACCAGUUUGCAUGCACCUCGACUAAUACUUACGGUUCUUGAAGUUAACGAAUAAAUAAGCCUCCAGUGGCCAUCAAUAUUAACAACUACAAGGCUCGAACUUGAGACCACAGGGGGGCAAACCCCUUGAUCCAAAACUCUUACCACUUGACCACCUACUAGAUGGUUAGUACCAAUAAUUAAUUUGCUCUCAACUUGCUACAAAUAGCUGCCAUGAUCACAUAUUCAAGAAACACUAGUUUAAGAGCUUGGGAUCAAGAGGUUUGCUCCCUCUGUAGUCUCAGGUUCAAGCCCUGUGGUUGCUCAUAUGAUGGCCACUGGAGGCUUACAUGGUCGUUAACUUCAGGGCCCGUGGGAUUAGUAGAGGUGCGUGUAAGCUGGCCCGGACACCCACGUUAAACUAAAAAAAAAAAAACACUAGUUUAUAAACCCUGAGGGGUAGCUCAACUGGUUAGAUUUUGAGUAUGUUUCCUAAUAAUCACGAGUUUGAGUUCUUUUAGGCCAACUGGAGGCUUACAUAGUUUUAAACUUCAGGACUCGUGAAAUUAGUAAAGGUACAUACAAAUUCAGUGGUGGAGCCAGAAAUUUUUAAAUGAGGAGGCAAAUUACUAACAAAUAUUUGAUAUUAUAUGCUAUACAUAUAUAUGUUAUAUAUAGAAAUGAAUUUGAAAUACAUGUGCCUCAAGUCAAGCAAAAUUAAUUUAAGAAUACUUUUAAAAUGAAAAAAACUUAUGUUAUAAUUGUUUUCUUCGAGAUUUUAUAUUUUAAAACUGCUUCAUAAUAAUUUUAUUUUUAAUUUCAUUAAAAAUAUAUUUCUCAAUAUAUACAACAAACUUUCAUUUAUCUAUUUCUAAAUCUUCCAAGUACUAGGAAAGUUGUUGACAACAAUUUUAUGCUGACAUAUGGUACAUAACAUCUAAAAUCAUAUCUUAAAAGAAUUGUCAUAAAUUGAAGUUGUUCUUACUGACUUGUUGUUUUGUACAAGUAGAUUAAAUAUAAAUAUUAAAUGUUUUUUUAAAUUUAUCUAUUAUGUCUCUAAUUUUUUUAGUUGUCUUAUACUUCAUUUUUAAUCAUUAGUAAAUUCAUUAUCAUCGUUUUUCAUAUGAAAUUCAUAACAAAACUUAUCAAUUCAUCAAAACUCAUUUCAAUUCAUAUCCAUUAGCAUAUAAUAUUACCCAUACACAUAUUAAUUCAACAAACCCAUAAAUUAUUAUAAACCCUAACAUUUUUAAUAACUAAUUUUUGGAGAUGUAGACCCAGUAUUUUUGGAGCUUCCAUAUCUAGUUGACCUAUCAGGAAGAGAUGAAGUUAACGUUUGGGAAUGCGGUGCAAACCAUGUUCCCCUAAAAUUAAAUUUUUUUUUGUUAAAAAUUAAUUUUUUGGUAUAUUUUGGAUCGUUUUGAUGCGCUGAUCUCAAAAAUAAUUUUUAAAAAAUAAAAAAACAUCAUUUUGAUGCAUUUCGGCACAAAAAAUACUUUGAAAAGCAACUGUAACCACACUCCUAUACAAGUAAAGUCUCUAACAGCACAAGUAUAAAAAAUAUAACUGCUGGGCAAACCAACUCUUUUCUCAAACCCAUCAGUUGCCUCAUGAUAUAUAUAUAUAUAUACACAUAUAUAUAUAUAUAUAUAUAUAUAUAUAUACACACACACACCAUGCAUAGAAUUCAUGGAUAAAAGAAAGGAAUUGGAUCUGAUUUGAGGUGGGGGGAUUGCCCCCUCUUGCCUUUAUGUGGCUCCGCCACUAUAUAAAUUAGUUUGGAUAUUUACAUUAAUUAAAAAAAAAAUACUGGUCUAGAAAAGCGAUCUACAAGGUGAUUAUUUAGUUGACUAAUUGAAUCUGUUUUUUAUAAAAAAAAUAUUUUAGAAGAUAAUUUUUAAUAAUUUUAGAUUUUUUUAUAUAUAAAUAUCAAAAAUAAAAUUAAAAAAAUAACAAAAUAUUAUUUUAAUAUAAUUUUAAAUAAAAAACACAUUUAAAAAAACUUAAUAGUAUACUCUCAACCAAGGUUGUCAAUUCCGUUUCGGUAGGUGUUUCGUUUUUUUAAUUGGAAUGGAAUGUUUCAGUUUCGGAGUGUUUCGGCGUGCCGUUCCGGGGUUGUACUGUUCAUAUAUAUAUAUUCAACAAACAUAAUUCAAAUUCAAGAUAAAUUAAUUAUAAAUUAUGCAAUACAAACACAAUGCCAAACAAAUAUAAUUUCAAAAUUUAAAAUAUUUCUAAAUAGUCAAGAUUAAAUAGAUCUUUACCUUAAAGUAAUUCAACUUAAACAAAAUAUCAAAAUAUUAUGAAAGUAAAAUGUUUUAACAUAAAUAUUUUAAAUAUAAAGUUAGGUCAAUGUUAUCAAGGCUAAUUGAAUCUAAAGCAUCCCUUGGUUUGCUCAAAUUUCUACAAAGUAUAAACAUGAAAAAAAAACAUGAAUAUAAACCUUAUAUAUUAGUGAUAAAUCUAAUUUUAAAAAAUUAAUAUCAUUGUUAAUGAAAAUAGUAAUAAUAAUUUUCAAUAUUAUUAUUAAUAUCAUUGUUAUUGAAAAUAGUAAUGAAAAAGAGCCUUUUAUAAUUGGGUGAUUUAAUUAAUUAAAUUGAACAAAAUUCAAUUUGAUUCAAUGGAUUUUCAAGAACGGAACGAAACAAGUGGAAUGAAACCGGAACGUUCCGGGUGGAAUUUAGCCGAAAAAUACAGAACAGACCGAGAUUUAAAAUAAAAUGAAAUUUAUUUUAUUUUUUAAAUUGGUAUGAAAUAUUUCGUUUAUUUCAUACGAAACAAAACAGAAUUGACAACUUGCUCUCAAGCACCCAAAAUAGAGGAUUCAAUUGUAUUGUGGGUUCCACACCAUUUAAAGCUUGCAAAGAAGGAUUUGAAACACAAUCACACUAAAGAUUUGCAAUGGAAUAUAAUAUAAAAUAAUACCCAAUGGCAUCAGCGGACAUGUAAUCAAUAAUAUUAAAAUACAGUAAAUUUUGAUUUAAUUCAAUUAUUGGAUUCUAGGCAGCGUGACAAUGUCAGAAAAUCUUGGAUGAUGGUGACCAAAUAUAUCAGUAAUUUGAGACAACACGUUCCCGAAAGGUAAUAGCUGAUGGUGCCAAAAAUUAAACCAGCUCUCAACUCGCUACAAAUAGCUGCCAUGGCCUUUCAUUCUACCUUAUAUUUCUUUUUUAACUUUCAUGGAAUCCUCUUUGCCUUCCUCCCAAAUCUUGGAUUCUGAUGGAAAUGCUGAGAGGAAAAAUGAAGCUAAAAAUUACAAUGAAGUGAUGUCCACCCUUCCAAAAGUUAAAGGCUUGAGGGGGGAUGAUUAUUACCUGUACCAAGGCUUUUGGUACGCUCCCUUCUUCUUGGAAAGACUCAUGUCUGUUCAAGAGCACUUCCAUCCUCAAUCCACUGAUAUAUUUGUCGCCAGUUUUCCAAAAACUGGCACAACUUGGCUUAAGGCCCUCACUUUUGCUAUUUUCACACGAUCCCGUUUAAGUGGUUCAACAACUAGUUCUUUACUUUCCAAGAUGCCACAUGACUGUGUUCCUUUUUUGAAUUAUAACCUUGCUCAAAACCCCAGUAAUCGGGACUUGACAAUUCCUCUGCUAUCUACUCAUGUUCCUUACAGUUGUUUACCUAAAUCUAUCAUUUCUUCUUGUUGCAAGAUUAUUUACAUUUGCAGGGACGCAAAGGAUGCUUUUGUUUCUUUGUGGUACUUUCAUGCCACGUUGCAAAGGUCGAAAAAUGUUGAGCCUCUUCCUCUGGAAGAGGCUUUUGAGCUGUUCUGCAAUGGAAUUGCAAAUUUUGGACCCUACUGGAACCAUGUUUUAGGGUACUGGAGAGCAAGCUUGGAGUUCCCCGAGAAGAUACUGUUCUUGACAUAUGAGGAAAUGAAGAAAGACACCGCUGCUCAUGUUAAGAAAUUAGCUGAGUUCAUGGGUUGUUCUUUCACCCUAGAGGAAGAGGAGGAAGGGGAGGUGCAAAAGAUAAUAGGCAUGUGUAGUUUUGAGAAGUUGAGCAACUUGGAGGUGAAUAAAAAUGGGAAGUGCCUUCUAGACAUAUCAAUUCCUAUUCCAAAUAGUAUAUUCUUCAGGAAAGGUGAGAUAGGCGACUGGGCAAAUCACUUGACACCUGAAAUGGGAGCACGUCUAGAUGACAUAAUGGAGCGGAAGCUCAAGGGUUCAGGCUUGAAGCUGCCCAGGUGACUGUGCCUGGGCCCCGUUUGCUUAUUAUUAUUGGCUUAGUGGGUUCGUCAAAAGCUGUUAUCAACAUCUCGUGAAACAGCAACCGUGUAUCCCAAUAAAUACCCUCUCUGUUCAUCUCUUGUAUUUCCUAGCAAGUAUUCACAUUUUGUGAAUCAUCCAUGUCAAUAAGCAAUAUUCUUUUGUGAAUCUGUGUUUGUAACUUUCAUUGAUUUCCUUGCAAGUUUGUAAGAAUUAAAAAUGGGAUUCGUUUUUUAUUUAUUUAUUUAACACAAGUGCAUGCAUUCCAUUAAUCAGUGAUAAAAAAAAAUAAAAUUACUCUACUAUAUAAUAUUAGAGUGUUUUCUUCACAGAAAUUGCAGUGUGUUUUCUUCACACUGCAAUACAUGUUUUAAAAGAACCGAGACAACCAUACAUGAGGGCGGAGCAAAUACCAACCGAGACAACCAUCCAUUAAGAUUGUUGAAUUGAAGAUCAAAUGAACAUAGGCGGCACAUCUGCUGAAAGGAUCUCGAAAUGCCUUGUAAUUGGUUAAAAUAAAGAUCAAGAUCUGUAGGAGAACUCGUGUUUUCCACUCCUAAAAUAAGCCCAGUUGCCGGCUUCAUGUGCAACAGAGGCACAUAGAGAAUCUCCCCCCCCCCCCCUCCAGGCUCAGAUCACAAAUCUUCUUACUUCAAACCAAUCUUUUGGAACCGAUAUAUAUGUCGAGUGAUGGCUUGAUUUAUACCGGAGAUUGUGUUGGAAAAUUAAAGAAGCAUGGCUUAAUUUGUACCUUGGAUGCGCAAAUUGAUUACAGGAAAAUAUCAAAAAAAAAUUUCCUUUCUUUAUAACUUAUGAAGAGUAAAAUAAAAAAAAAGUUAAUAGUAAAACAAAAUAACCCCAAGUGUACAUUAUCAAUGCAAAACUAGAUUUUUCCUUAUUUUAUAUCCCUUUCUUUUGAUAUACUUCUUCUUUUAUGCCCCUUUCUUUUGGUAUAUCUCUUCUUUGUAUCUUUUGGUGUUAAUCACUUUGUUGAAUGCCUCUGUUGAUAUCUUUUAUAACUCACUACAGUGAUUUGAACAUUGAAAAUGUUUCCUUUUAAAAAAAAAAAAUAGAGAAGGCAUUUUGAUUUCAUCUUCAAUUUUUCUGCAUGUCUUCUUCUUUCAAAGUAUUGGGUUUAAAACACAAUCAUGCUCUACAUCAUGCUUUGAGUUUUCCAGGUUAUUUUCAGAAAGAUUUGAUAUAUUUGACCUGAAAGAAAAAAAGGAUGUACAAAGCUUUGCAUUUCUGGAACGUCUUUUCAUCAUGCUCUACAUGAUUCAAUCACAUUGCUCACAUCUACAUGAGUAACCAGAAAAGCAAGUAUUUCAUCGGAUUCUACAUGAUUCGAUCACUUCGCUCACAGCUUUAUGAGUCUCUGGUGAUAUCGUGUUUAAUUAAAUAGAAUAUUUAUUAUAAGAAACAGAUUUAUCAAAUAUAAUUGAGUAUAUGCCUCAUCAUAUCAAAUAUUUUAAUUAGAUGUAACUAUCUAGGUGGUGGUUCAGUGGUAAAAGUUUGGGACCAAGAUGUUUGUUCCCUCUGUGGUCUCAGGUUCGAGCCCUGUGGUUGCUCAUAUGAUGGUCAUUGGAGGCUUACAUGGUCGUUAACUUCAGGGCCCGUGGGAUUAGUCAAGGUGCACGCAAGCUGAUCCGGACAUCCAUGUUAAACUAAAAAAAUAUAUAUAUUUUAAUUAGAUGCGUGUGUACAAGUAUUUUAAUUUAUGAUUAAGAAUUUUUUUAUAUCAAAAAAAAAUUAAAAAGUCUGUAUAUUUAUUUUUCCUUGUUAAAACAAUUAUCUGAAAUAGCCAGUAAUCAACUAACUAUGAAAGAUAAGAUUGAGAAUUGAGAAGUUUAUUUGUCAGCAGACAGUAGCUUCAGUAGAUGGAAAAAGACUCUCUAGAUCACCGGAUCAAUUCCCACCUUCAUGAACUAUUUUUUAUUAGUACAGAAAGCUUCAUAUCAGUCAAAACUCUCUCUCUCUCUCUCUCUCUCUCUCUCUCUCUCUAAAUGGAUCAGAGACUACACAAAUAUAGAGGUGGAGCUUCACAUUAAGCUUCAGAUCAAUUUUCUAUUUUAAAAUCUCAUAAGUUUGGUCCAUUGAUUGCCCUAGAUUGCCCUAGAUUUUCCUGUGUUUUAUAUCCUUUUCUUUUGACAUUUUUUUUAAUCUUUUUCCAGGCCAAAAUCCUAAUUUAAUGUUUGAAAUUGAGAUGAUAAUUAUUUAACUAGAAAAUAUAUUAAAAUAAUAUUUUUUAUUUUUAAAAAUUUAUUUUAAUCAUCACCACAUUAAAACAAUCUAAAAUUAUAUAAAAAAAUUAAAAUAAUAAGAUUUAAAAAUAUUUUUUAAACACAAAAACAAACACAAUCAUCACUCAUAUAUCAUGAGAUUUGCAUUUAGACAUUAAAAUUCAAGAAGAAAUUAAGUUCACCGUACUAUUAAUUCAGUCGAUGAAGGAUUAGUCCCAACUACUUUAGGCCACCAUUAAUUACUUUAUUUAAAUGUAUACUUCUUUAUUAAUUCAGUCGAUGAAGGAUUAGUCCCAACUACUUUGGGCAUUUUAACUCCAUCUUCAAUUACUUUAUUUAAAGGUAUCCUUCUUUCUUAGAUAUUGAAUUUUGAAAACACAAUCAUGCUAAAGAUUUGUCAACGAAUUGUUUUUUAAAAUAAAAAAAUAUUUUAAAAAAUAAUUAAUACCAUACUACCGAGCAAAUGAAGUUAUGUGGAGGGUUCCGCACCAUUUAAAGGUUGUAAAGAAAGGUUUAAAACACAAUGACGAUAAAGAUUUGCUAUCGAAUAUAAUAUGAAAUAAUAAUACCCAAUUGCAUCAGCGGACAUGUGAUCAACAAUAUUAAAAUUCUGUAAAUUUUGAUUUAAUUCAAUUAUUGGAAUUCCAGGCAGCGUGGCAAUGUCAGAAAAUCUUGGACGAUGGUGACUAAAUGUUUGUAAAUGGAGACGGCACGUUCGCGGAAGGUAAUAGUCGAUGGUGCCAAAAAUUAAAUCAGCUCUCAACUCGUUACAAAUAGCUGCCAUGGCCUUUCAUUCUACAUUAUUUUUUCUUUUUUCACAUUCAUGGAAUCCUCUUUGCCUUCCACCCAAAUCUUGGAUUCUGGUGAAAGUGCUGAGAGGAAAAAUGAAGCUAAAAAUUACAAUGAAGUCAUGUCCACCCUUCCAAAAGUAAAAGGCUUGAAUGGGUGUGAUUAUUACCUGUACCAAUGCUUUUGGUACGAUCCCUCCUUCUUGGAAGGAAUCAUGUCUGUUCAAGAGCGCUUCAAUCCUCAAUCCACUGAUAUAUUUCUCGCCAGUUUUCCAAAAACUGGCACAACUUGGCUUAAGGCCCUCACUUUUGCUAUUUGUACACGAUCCCGUUUAAGUGGUUCAACAACUAGUUCUUUACUUUCCAAGAUGCCACAUGACUGUGUUCCUUUUAUGGAAUAUGACCUUGCUCAGAACCCAAGUAAUCGGGACUUGGCAAUUCCUCUGGUAUCUACUCAUGUUCCUUACACUUGUUUACCUAAAUCUAUCAUUUCUUCUUGUUGCAAGAUUAUUUACAUUUGCAGGGACGCAAAGGAUGUUUUUGUUUCUUUGUGGUACUUUCUUGCCAGGCUGCAAAUGUCUGAAAAUGUUGAGCCUCUUCUUCUGGAAGAGGCUUUUGAGUUGUUUUGCAAUGGAAUUGCAAAUUUUGGACCCUACUGGAACCAUGUUUUAGGGUACUGGAGAGCAAGCUUGGAGUUCCCCGAGAAGAUACUGUUCUUGACAUAUGAGGAAAUGAAGAAAGACACCGCUGCUCAUGUUAAGAAAUUAGCUGAGUUCAUGGGUUGUUCUUUCACCCUAGAGGAAGAGGAGGAAGGGGAGGUGCAAAAGAUAAUAGGCAUGUGUAGUUUUGAGAAGUUGAGCAACUUGGAGGUGAAUAAAAAUGGGAAGUGCCUUCUAGACAUAUCAAUUCCUAUUCCAAAUAGUAUAUACUUCAGGAAAGGUGAGAUAGGCGACUGGGCAAAUCACUUGACACCUGAAAUGGGAGCACGUCUAGAUGACAUAAUGGAGCGGAAGCUCAAGGGUUCAGGCUUGAAGCUGCCCAGGUGACUGCGCCUGGGUCCCAUUUGCUUCUGAUUAUUGCCGAAGUGGGUUCAUCAAAAGCUGUUAUCAACAUCUCGUGAAACAGCAACUGUGUAUCCCAAUAAAUACCCUCUCUGUUCAUCUCUUGUAUUUCCUAGCAAGUAUUCACAUUUUGUGAAUAAUCCAUGUGAAUAAGCAAUGUUCUUUUGUGAAUCUGUGUUUGUAACUUUCAUUGAUUUCCUUGCAAGUUUGUAAGAAUUAAAAAUGGGAUUCGUUUUUUAUUUAUUUAUUUAACACAAGUGCAUGCAUUCCAUUAAUCAGUGAUAAAAAAAAAAAAAUUACUCUACUAUAUAAUAUUAGAGUGUUUUCUUCACAGAAAUUGCAGUGUGUUUUCUUCCCACUGCAAUACAUGUUUUAAAAGAACCGAGACAACCAUACAUGAGGGCGGAGCAAAUACCAACCGAGACAACCAUCCAUUAAGAUUGUUGAAUUGAAGAUCAAAUGAACAUAGGCGGCACAUCUGCUGAAAGGAUCUCGAAAUGCCUUGUAAUUGGUUAAAAUAAAGAUCAAGAUCUGUAGGAGAACUCGUGUUUUCCACUCCUAAAAUAAGCCCAGUUGCCGGCUUCAUGUGCAACAGAGGCACAUAGAGAAUCUGAAAGCAGUUUUUAUGCACUAUCAGCAGAAUAAUUUGAUCAGUCAGAAUGAUCCCCCCCCCACUAGGCUCAGAUCACAAUUCUUCUUACUUCAAACAAAUCUUUUGGAACCGAUAUGUGGAGGGAUGGCUUGAUUUAUACCGGAGAUUUUGUUGGAAAAUUAAAGAAGCAUGGCUUAAUUUGUACCUUGGAUGCGCAAAUUGAUUACAGGGAAAAAAAUGACAGAAAGUGAGUUGCAGGGAAUGAAAAAGGCAUUAGUAAACUCAACAGCUUGCAGGGCAUCGUUCCUUGGUUUACUCCGUUUUAUUUCUUAUUUUGUUUUUCCUGCCAUUGUCUUAUGUUUGUCUAACUCGCAGUCUGGUCUCUGCAGAGAAUGAGAAAGCACAGACUCUUUAAGAGAAGAUAUUCUCCGGCAAUGGCAUCAAACAGAAAAGUCCGACGUUAACUAAAUGAGUUCAUGGGUCUCUUGUCUGAAUAUAGAAGUGCAGAAACUAAGCUUGACCAAAAACCCCCAUGCUACCAACUACAACUCAACAAGCAACAAAUCAAAUGAAUUGUGAUCCGCCAGUAAACAGCGAAUGGACACUGCCCCAGCAAUAGAUCAUACAAGCUCUGACCAACCGGUCAAAGAUCACGAGGACCCUACCCACUGCCCACUGACUGACAAUUCAUCAAAUAGAUUUAUUGCCGUUCACCACCUUAUUUAGAUGUAUUUUUAAAUAAUAUCCGUGAACUCAAAAAAAAAUCACUCAAAUAUCUCCCUAGAAAACUGACCUUGAACUCUUAACUAGGAGAAAAACAAAGAGGAAAAAUAGAGCUUAUAACAUAGGAAACUACGCUGAAAACUGAGGUGAAAAAAAGUGUAAGAAAUUCUGUAAAAAUGUCCAGAAACACUUUUUAUCACUUUUUACAGAGGAUUUUGAAACCUAAACCAAUGUAGAUUUACUUUUAGUAAUUAUUAAAAAUUAAUUUUUAUCAUUAUCAAUCUUAAUUAUCCGUUAUAAAUUAAAAUUAACCUUAACCCUUUUAGCUUUAAAUAUAAUGCUUUGUUAGAAUUAUAAAAACCAUUCAAAUUGAAAAAAAUUGCUUAGGCUGAAAAAAGUGUUCAGACUCUAUAUUCAUUGACAGUACAAACUGAUGGAUUAGAAAGAAAAAAAAUAUAUAGGCCAAAAAAUUAUAAAUCCAAACCCAAGUUUAAAAUAUAUUGAUAAAAAUUAAUUAUUUAUAGUUUACAAUAAAAUCAGACUUGGGACAAGCAAGCCAAUUAAGCAUGGGACUUCAACUCAAAGUUUACUUUACUUAGGUUUUUUUUUUUAAUCUGAGUGUAUUUUAAUCCAAUUUUAAUUCUUUAUAUUUUUAAUAUAUAAUUAACAAUAAAAAUGUUGUUUUUUUUACGUGAAAUAAAGGUUUUGAAUUUCACAAAGAUAUAUUCAUCAACAAAAUUAAAUUUUUAUUUAUUUAUAAUUUAUUUUAAUUAUUUUAAUAUUUUAUGUUAAAGAGAUUUGGUUGGAGAAUAAGUUUCAAUAAAAUUUAAAUCCGAAAAAUAAGUAGAUUUUAUUUUUAAUUUUAUUUCAAAUAUAUUUAUUUUUUAUGUUUUAAAACAAAUUUUAUCUCAUCUAUGUAUGUAUAAAUAUAUAAUCACAAUUCUCAAUACAGCACUUAUAGUUAGUUAUCGAACGAAAGAAUGUUAUCUCUUUCAGUAUGCCACAGAUAUUCAAAACACGGCGGUCACCCUUAUUAGCUUGCAGUCGUCUAUCGAAGUAUUAUCGCCAAAUCCACAGAAGCAAGGCAAACCACAGUUUUCUCUAGUUAUAGGACUAGACGGUACUGCGCUAGACUGCAGGUUUACAAUAUUUUUUCGAUAAAAUAUUUAAAUCAUGAGAAAAUCAUGCAUGAUUAAAAGAGUAAAAUUCAAAUUAAAAAUAUCAAUACAUGACAAAAUAAAAUUAAAAAAAAUUAAAUAAAAUUUUUAUAAAAAAACUAGAAUAAAAGAGAGGACUGAAACCGAAAAAGUUUAAACAAAAAGGACAUACCUGCAAUUUGAGGGGGGGAGGGAGGAGGAGAAAAAAAAAGGUUCAUCAACAACGAACUGCUCGACCUUCACCUACAUGUAUCGCACCAUGAGAAAGAGGAAGCAGUGAUGCUUCCAACAACACAAUAAAAUGUUUAUUUUUACAACUAGAGGUAUUGCAUGCUAUACUUGAAGUGCUAGCUUUUUAAAUUUUAAUAUUAUUUAUUUUUUUGUUAAAAGAUUACAAUGCGCAAACUAAAAAGAAAAACAAUAUAAAAAGAUAAAGUAUAACCUUGACCUAAAGCUUUUCUUUUUCUUUUUACUUCAAGGAUAUUUAAGUAAGUUUAGUGUACAUUCAAAAGCAUUUAAUGAAAUACCCUUCGACCAAGGUUUUUUUUUUUUUUAAAGUAUAAGACACUUAACAAAAUAAUAAAUAACAAAAAUUAAAAACUUAAAAAGACAAAAAAUACCCUUCGACCAAGGUUUUUUUUUUUUACUCCAAAGCAUUUAAUGAAUCUCGCCCAUAACGACAGCAAGUCUUUAAAAAGUGGAUUUCCUGAUGAAACCUGGAUAGUAUCAGUGCCAGCUCGAGCUCAGAAUGCGGCAUCUAUUGAUUAACUUACCAGUUACCAACACAAGGAGACACACACAACAACUUUAAAAAGGGCAUUAUAUAGCUAAACAUUGAUUAUUAUUUUUAUUUCAUUUUUAAUAUUAUAUUAAUUUUAAAUAUAUAUAUUUUUAAUUUCUCCAUUCAAUAACAAGUUGAAAUUCAUAAUUUUAUUUAAUUCAUUUCUUAUAAUAAUUUUUUUCCCAUCGUUUAAUUAAAUAAAAUAUUUAUUAUAAAAAAUAAAAUUAUUAAACAUAAUUGAGUAUAUGGCUUGUAUUUUUAGGUUAAAUAUUGUAAUUAGAUGUGGGUAUAAGCAUUUUAAUUUAUAAUUAAAAAGAAAAACUAUAUCCAAAAAAGAAUUUAAAAAACCUGUAUAUUUAUUUUUCAAUUAUCUAACCUGCAGCAGUGAAGUGCAAUUGAAAUAGCUAGUAAUCUAACUAAAAAAUUUAAGAUAAGAUUAAGAAAUGAGAAGUUUAUUUGUCAGCAGACAGUAGCUUCAGUAAAUAGAAAAUAUAGACUGUACUGCUGCUGAUCCCGGGAUCAAUGCCCACCUUCAUGGAUUAUAUAUAUAUAUAUAUAUAUAUAUAUAUUCAAUGUGAGAUAUUAAGUCAUUUAGUACAUACUAGUUAGAUGACUUGUGCGGUGCUGCGAGUUAAUUUUUUUUGCAUAAAAAUAUAUAAAAAAACUAAAAUCUAAAAGUAUUAGGUCUUUUUGCAAAGUUAUACCCAAGAAUCUUGGGUUUGGCUGCAACGCCUGACCCAAGAGUAAUAUUUAUAAUAUUAAUUAUAACAUUAAACUUGCAUGACUCAAGUUUAAAUGAGUCUAGAUGCAAUACCAUACCCAAUAGUCUUGGAUGUGGGUCUGGCUGCAAGGUCGUGUAAUAAAAGUGUGAUAAUUAAAUAGAUUAAUUAAAAAUAAAAAAAACAAAGAAAAAAACAAACAUGAAGAAAAAAACUAAUGAAGAAAAAGAAAAAAAAUUUGAAUUAACUGGGUUAACCCUUCAAACCAGGUUAAUCCGUCAAACCUUGGAUUCGUGUCGUGAAAGUUUGAUAACUAAAUAAAAAAAAAAUGAACAUUAACAAACUAAAUUAAAUGAAAAAAAUAAUUAAAAAAAAAAGCAUCAGCCUUUUCACUGUGGACUGCACUGUGCAGUCCACAGUCAAAUGCAUAAAAACAACAAAAAAGCAAAAAGAAAAACUAAAGGCAUCAAUCGAUAACUAAAUAGAAAAAAAAUUUAAUAUUGAUGAACUAAAUUAAAUAAAAAAAAUUAAAUAAAAAGAAGAAAAAACUUAUAAGAAGAAAAAAACUAAUGAAGAAAAAGAAAAAAAAUCUAAAUUAACUGGGUUAACCCGUCAAACCUGAGAUCCGUGUCAUGAAAGUCUGACAACUAAAUAAAAAAAAUUUAAUAUCAAUAAACUAAAUAAAAAAAUUAAUUUAAAAAAAAGGCAUCAGCCUUUUCACCGUGGAUUGCACUGUGCAGUCCAUAGUGAAAGGCAUGAAAAUAAAAAAAACAAAAAAAAACUAAAGGCAUCAGCCUUUUCACUGUGGACUGCAUAGAAUAUUAAAAGAUGAAAUCGGAAGAACAAAACUAAUGAGGAAAAAGAAAAAAAAAAUCUGAAUCAACUAGGUUAAUCCGUCAAAUCAAGUUAACCCGUCAAACUUGAAAGUGUGAUAACUAAAUAGAAAAAAGAUUUAAUAUUAAUGAAAUAAAUUAAAAAAAGAUUAAUUAAAAAGGAAAAAAGCAAAGAGAAAAAAGACCAACAGGAAGAAAAAAACCUAAUGAAGAAAAAGGAAAAAAAUCUGAAUUAAGUGGGUUAACUGGUCAAACCUGGGAUUCGUGUCAUGAAAAUCUGAUAAUUAAACAGAAAAAAUUUAAUAUUAAGAAACUAAAUUAAAAAAAGACUAAUUAAAAAAAGACAAAAAAAAACUAAAGGCAUCAGCUUUUUCACUCUUAAAAAGGAAAAGAGAGAAAAAUAAAAACAAAAGCAAACGCCACGGGUUAAUUUUUUUUUUCUUGCAUAAAAAAUAUUAAAAAAAACUAAGAUCUAAGAGUAUUAGGUCUUUCUGCAAAGAUAUGCCCAAGAGCCUUUGGUUUAGUUGCAACGCUUGACCCAAGAGUAAUAUUUAUAAUAAUAAUAAUAAUAAUAAACUUACAUGACUCAAGUUUAAGUGAGUCUGGCUGCAAGGUCGUGUCAUAAAAGUGUGAUGAUUAAAUAUAUUAAUUAAAAAGAAAAAAACCAACAUGAAGAAAAAAACUAAUGAAGAAAAAGAAAAAAAUAUGAAUUAACUGGAUUAACCCUUCAAACCAGGUUAACCCGUCAAACCUGAGAUUCAUGUUAUGAAAGUUUGAUAACUAAAUAGAAAACAAAAUUGACGGGUUAACCUGUCAAGCCUGGGAUACGUGUCAUGAAAGUCUGAUAAUUAAAUAGAAAGAAAUUUAACAUUAACAAAAUAAACUAAACGAAAAAAAAUUAAUUUAAAAGAAAAAAAGUAAAAAAAAAAUUCUAGGUUAACUCAUCAAACCAAAUUAACCCAUCAAAUCCGGGAUCCGUGUCAUGAAAGUCUGAUAACUAAAUAAAAAAAAUAACAUUAACAAACUAAAUUAAACAAAAAAAAUUCAUAAAAGAAAAAAAAACACAGAAAAAAAACAAAAAAAACAUAAAGGCAAAAAAAACAAAAACAAAAUUAAGUGAGAAUUACUGAUGUGCUUUGCCAAGCUUUGCAACAGAAAUCUCAAGACAUUUUAAAUGCUAUGCAUUUGCUGACUACCAUAAAGACUUUAAUUCAGAAGUUAAGAGAUGAUGGAUUGGAAACUCUUUUAGAACAAGUGACAUCAUUUUGUAAGCAUAAAAACAUUGAAGUUCCUGAUAUGGAUGCUUGUUUUUCUAGUGUGGGACGAUCUCGCUGUAAAACAAAAUCAAUAACAGUUGAGCAUCACUAUCGAGUUGAUAUAUUUAUAGCUAUCAUUGAUCAAUAGUUGCAAGAGCUAAAUAAUAGAUUCUAUGAGCAGGCGAUCGAGCUUCUUAAGUUGAGCAUAGCUUUAGAUCCUAAAAAUAACUAUAAAUUAUUCAGUGUUGAAGAUAUAUGCUAACUUGUUGACAAGUUCUAUCCUGAAGACUUUUCUGACCAAGAAAAAACUCAUUUGAGAUUUCAGUUGCAGCAUUAUGAGCUUGAUGUACCCAAUCAUCCAAAGUUAAAGAAUAUGUCAUCGAUUGCUGAUUUAUGUCAAGGACUGGUUGAAAUAGAAAAAUCAACAAUUUAUCUACUCAUUGAUAAGUUGAUUCGACUUAUUUUGACUCUUCCUGUUUCGACAGCAACUACUGCACGAGCUUUUUCAGCGAUGAAGAUUGUUAAAACAAGACUUCGCAAUCGGAUGGAGGAUGAUUUUCUUGCAAAUUAUUUGAUUGUCUAUAUAGAAAAAGAAAUUGCUGAAAGAUUCACAAUUGAUAUGAUAAUCGAUGAUUUCUACUCCAUGAAAGAAAGACAAAAACAAUUAAAAUAAAUAUGUAAGAAUCAUUCUUUAUUACUUUUUAUUUUAUUUAAAAGUUUUAUCAAACAUAAAUAAUGUAUCGCUUUAGCUAAUGUUUCUUAUAUAUUUUGUAUGUUUAUAUUUGAUAGGUACAAAAACCAACAAAAUUAAAGUGAUGAAUACAUUAUGAAGAUGAAAUUAACUUCAUAGCUUUGACUUAAUUUGAUAUUUGCUUUAAACAUCUUAUCUUAUACAAAAAUCAUAAUAUGUUUGUAAUUACUUUUUUGAAUAAAACUAAAUCAUGUCGUUUUUGUUUUUGUUUUUAUUUUUAUUUUUAUGUAAAGUAAAUUUUUAAAUAAAUUAUAUCUUUUAUUAUUUUAACCCCCAUUCAAAUAAUCCCAGCCCCUGACCGCAAUAACAAUCAAAAUAAAAUCUAAUUCUACCGGCUGCUAAGAAUACUAAAAUAGUGUAAAUUUUGACUUAAUUCAAUUAUUAGAAUUCGGGGCAGAUAACAGUGUUGAAGAAAAUGUCAGAAAAGUAGGGUAAACAGUACAAAUACCUUGGAUGAUGGUGACUAACGCCGUUUGUUUACGCGGGCGCGGGUGCGGUUGCCUUUUAAUUAAUAAAUAUCGGUAGUUGGAGACUUCUUGUUCUCGAAAAGAAAUAGUUAAUAGUGCCAAUAAUUAAUCUGCUCUCAACUUGCUACAAGCUGUCAUUACUCAUUACCAAAAUAUUAAAGAAACAAAUAUUUCCUAUUAGUAGAAAAGCGAUCUAAUAAAGCGAUUGUUCAGUUGACGUUAUUGAAUUGCUUUUUUAUAAAAAGUUAAUUUUUAAAUAUUUAUAGAUUAUUUUAUAUAUAAAUUUAAAAAAAAUCUUAAAAAAUUUAAAAAUAUAUUUUAAUAUAAUUAAAAAAAACAUUUGAAAAACAAUUAAUAGUAUAGUCUCAGGUCUCAACCACCCAAAAUAUACAUUUGAAAAACAUUUUAUAUACCUUGGAUUAAAUUGUGUUGUAGGUUCCACACCAUUUAAAGCUUGCAAAGAAGGAUUUAAAACACAAUCACGCUAAAGAUUUGCAAUCCAAUAUAAUAUGAAAUAAAACCCCAUUGCAUCACCGGACAUGUGAUCAAUAAUAUUAAAAUACUGUAAAUUUUGAUUUAAUUCAAUUAUUAGAGCUUGAGGCAGCGUGACAAUGUGAAAGAAAAUGUCAGAAAAUCUUGGAUGAUGGUGACCAUAUCAGUAAUUUGAGACAGCAAGUUCUCGAAAGGUAAUAGUUGAUGGUACCAAAAAUUAAACCAGCUCUCAACUCGCUACAAAUAGCUGCCAUGGCCUUUCGUUCUACAUUAUAUUUCUUUUUUUACUUUCAUGGAAUCCUCUUUGCCUUCCACCCCAAUCUUGGAUUCUGGUGAAAGUGCAGAGAGGAAAAAUGAAGCAAAAAAUUACAAUGAAGUAAUGUACACCCUUCCAAAAGUUAAAGGCUUGAGGGGGAAUGAUUAUUACCUGUACCAAGGCUUUUGGUACUCUUCCUUCUUCUUGGAAGGACUCAUGUCUGUUCAAGAGCACUUCAAUCCUCAAUCCACUGAUAUAUUUCUCACCAGUUCUCCAAAAACUGGCACAACUUGGCUUAAGGCCCUCGCUUUUGCUAUUCUUACACGAUCCCGUUUAAGUGGUUCAACAACUAGUUCUUUACUUACCAAGAUGCCACAUGACUGUGUUCCUUUUUUGGAAUAUCACCUUGCUCAAAACCCAAGUAAUCGGGACUUGGCAAUUCCCCUGCUAUCUACUCAUGUUCCUUACAGUUGUUUACCUAAAUCUAUCAUUUCUUCUAGUUGCAAGAUUAUUUACAUUUGCAGGGACGCAAAGGAUGCUUUUGUUUCUUUGUGGUGCUUUUUUCCGCGCAUCAAAUGUCGAAAAAUGUUGAACCUCUUCCUCUGGAAGAGGCCUUUGAGAUGUUUUGCAACGGAAUUUCAGUCUUGGGACCAUAUUGGGACCAUGUUUUAGGGUAUUGGAGAGCAAGAUUUGAGUUCCCUGAGAAGAUAUUGUUCUUGACAUACGAGGAAAUGAAGAUAGACACCGCUGCUCAUGUUAAGAAACUAGCUGAGUUCAUGGGUUGUUCUUUCACCUUCGAGGAAGAGGAGGAAGGGGAGGUGCAAAAGAUAAUAAGCAUGUGUAGUUUUGAGAAGUUGAGCAACUUUGAGGUGAAUAAAAAUGGGAAGCACCGUCCCGUCCGGACACAUCAAUUGCUAUUCAAAAUAGUUUAUACUUUAGGAAAGGUGAGAUAGGCGACUGGGCAAAUCACUUGACACCUGAGAUGGGAGCGCGUCUAGAUGACAUAAUGGAGCGGAAGCUCAAGGGUUCAGGCUUGAAGCUGCCCAGGUGACCGUGCCUGGGGUCCCAUUUGCAUAUGAUUAUUGCCGAAGUGGGUUCAUCAAAAGGUGUUAUCAGGAUGUCGUGAAACAGCAACUGUGUAUCCCAAUAAAUACCCUCUCUGUUCAUAGCAAGUAUUCACAUUUUGUGAAUCUUCCAUGUCAAUAAGCAAUAUUCUUUUGUGAAUCUGUGUUUGUGACUUUCAUUGAUUUCCUUGCAUGUUUGUAAGAAUUCAAAAUGGGAUUCGUUUUUUUUUUUUAUUUAACACAAGUGCAUGCAUUCCAUUCAUCAGUUUGAUAAAAAAUAAAUUUACUCUAAUAUAUAAUAUUAGAGUGUUUUCUUCACAGAAAUUGCAGUGUGUUUUUCUUCACAGCUAUACAUGUUUGAAAAGAACCGAGACAACCAUACAUGAGGGUGGAGCAAAGACCAACCGAGACAACCAUCCAUUAAGAUUGUUGAAUUGCAGAUCAAAUGAACGUAGGCGGCACAUCUACUGAAAGGAUCUCGAAAUGCCUUGUAAUUGGUUAAAAUAAAAGAUCAAGAUCUGUAGGAGAACUCGUGUUUUCCACUCCUAAAAUAAGCCCAGUUGCCGGCUUCAUUUGCAACAGAGACACAUAAAGAAUCUGAAAGCAGUUCUUAUGCACUAUCAGCAAAAUAAUUUGACCAGUCAGAAUGAUUUUUUUCCCCCUUACUAGGCUCAGAUCACAAUCCUUCUUACUUCAAACAAAUCUUUUGGAACCGAUAUGUCGAGGGAUGGCUUGAUUUAUACCGGAGAUUUUGAUGGAAACUUAAAGAAGCGUGGCUUAAUUAUACCUUGGAUGCGCAAAUUGAUUACAGGGAAAAAAUGACAGAAAGUGAGUUGCAGGGAAUGAAAAAGGCAUUUGUAAACUCAACACCUUUCAGGGCAUCGUUCCUUGGUUUACUCCCUUUUAUUUCUUAUUUUGUUUUUCCUGCCAUUGUCUAAGUUUUUCUAACUCGCAGUCUGGUCUCUGCAGAGAAUGAGACAGCAAAAACGCUUUAAGAGAAGAUAUUCUCCGGCAACGGCAUCAAACAGAAAAGUCUGACAUCAACUAAGUGCGUGUUUGACACUCCGGUUAUGUUUACAUAAAAAACAUCGUUGUCAUGUGUUUGGUUACAGUCUAAACAUAAUUUUCUGUUUGUGAGACCCGUUAUCAUUUGCUUUUAAACCGCAAGAUAACCAAAAGCAACUUCAAGCUGCCUUUUGUGUUGAGUUGCAAACUUUAUAAACAAAGGCCACAAGAAAAAGAGCAGAAACAUAGCAGUGAAUAGUAAACAGUGGAGAGUAGCUCCCUCUCACCACCGGCAUCCACCGUUUCCACCGCCAGCCACUGCUCUUCCUCUUCCCCUUCUCCUUCUCCUUUAUCUUCUGCAUUGUCCACUGUUCACGUUGCAUGUGAACAGUGGAGAGCAGCUCACCACCGGCCUCCGCUGUUUCCACCGCCAGCCACUACUCUUCCUCUUUCCCUUCCCCUUCUUCUUCUUCUUCUACAUUUUCCACUGUUCACAUGAACAGUGGAGAGCAUCUCCACUAUUCAUGGCCGGAUUGGGUCUGACCCAAACCUAAAUGCAUUGGACUGGGUCCGACCAAGUAAAAUAAAAAAAUCUAAAAACAUUUCUUAGAUAUUGUGUUUUAUUUGAAAAACUAGUGUUUAAAAUUAUUCAAUGACACUAUAUAAUUAUAUUAGAAGGAGAUCGCAUGAUGACAUAGCAUUUGCAGAAUUUGAUUGCAAUCCCAAUUUUGUUCCUAAUGAUAUUUUACCUGAUGUGAUGAUAUUUUACCUGAUGUUGGUAUACGUUCAAGAAGCCAUGAAAACUGUAGUUCUUGUCGGAUGGAUUUCGUACGUGAUUGAAUUGCAAAUAGUUUAAUAAAACAAUAAAAAAUACUUUAUAUAAAGUAUUGUUUAUUUCAUGAUUUAAUAGCAGUAGUUAAAUCUAUAAUAUUUCAAUUAAAAACCAUCAAUAUUAAUAUAUGUUUUUUUUAAUUAUUUUAUAACCUUAAUUUGAAAAAUAUUCUUUAAACCAAACACAUUAAACUACUUUUUGUUCAACCUCAAUUUCAACCACAAUUUUAACCAAAUAUAUAUUUUUUCAAACCAAUCUCAACUAAAAGUAAUUUUUAUAAAACAACUUUUUCAAACUAUAACCACAACAGCUACCACAAUACCAAAUACACAUAAAAAAAACUGUAAUGAUAAGCAAGUUAAAGUGCCACCAUUGAUUUAGGAUCUGCUUUAGAUCUUAUAAGGUGAAAGUAAAACACAAGGAAAUGCAUGCAUGCACACCACUAAUCUUUGAUUCUGGCGAGAACAGUGAUGACUACACUCAGAACCAUAUAGAAUUACAUUCCAAGAUGAAGAAAUUAAUAACAGAGCAGUGCUAUAAAGCUAAAUGUGAGAACCAAAGAUUAAUAAGCAAUGCUGAAAAUUUUAUCAUGCAUAAGAUGAGAGAAGCACAGGACAGAUUUUAUCAAAUCUAUAGUUUUUCUUCAAUAAUAAUAAUAUUUUUUAAAAAUUUAAUAAUAAUAAAAAAAAAAAACUCAUGUUCCUUGGCUCUUUCUCUUGCCAAACUGAAGCUACCAUAGUCAAAUCCAAGUAACUUAGAUGUCACGCUCUUGCUAAACCCAAGUUAUUUGGGUAUGACAUCUCAUGCUGGACUCAUAGCAUUCCAGAUCAAAGGUGUUGAUAUCUAACAAUAAUACCUCACCCGAGCCCUAAGAUGUGAUUGCUUUUCUAGACCCGAGGGCCAAGGCACCAAGACACUAUUCACUAUAAGUCAAGUCAAUGAAUCAAUCAAUCGAUUUUAAAGAUCAAGUUUUUUUUUUAAUAGAGAAACAAAACUUUUAUUAACAUUGAAAUAACUCUUAAAAUCUUAAUAAAAUUAAUUUGAAGUAAAAAUAAUAUUAAAAGAAAUAUUCAGAAGCACUUUUUGAUUGUAAAAUCAAACACACUAAAAUCAUGUAGAUUUUCAUUUAGACAUUAAAAUUCAAGAAGAAAUUAAGUUCACAGUACUAUUAAUUCAAUCGAUGAAGGAUUAGACCCAACUACUUUAGGGCCACCAUUGACAUUGAUUACUUUGAAUAAUUUUAAUUUAUAGGCAUAAAAAAUUAAUACAUAUCUUUAAGAGGAUCAAUUUUAGAUUAUCUCUCUCUCUCUCUCUCUAUUUUUUUUUUGGUUUUCAAAUAUUUGACAUUUUCGUUUAGAUAAGCUCUAGUGUGUGUUUUUUUAAGAUUAUUUUAAAUCAUGUUUCUUGAAAUGUCAAAAACAUUUCAUGGAUUAAUUUAACUUAAUAACGCCAAAGAAUUAGGAAUUAAAACUGACAAUUUCCACCAUGUAAGAGUACCUAAUUGAAAAUUUACUUUCUUAUCAUUUACCUCAAUUAAGCGGAAGCAUGAUCAUGAGAAGGGAUUUGGAGAAAGAAUUAUAAACAGAGAAUAAGAGAAAAUGUAAUGUGUAUAGAUUUUCUUAAUGAAUUAAUUAUGAUACAACAGAAGCUCAUAUAUAUAUAUAUAUACAUUCUAAACUAAUCAGUUAUGAAAUGUUAUUACAAAUAUAAUUUGAAUUUCAAUUUUAAAAUCAUGAUUAGUGCAGGUUUAUCAAUGCAGCAGAAUAUCCAUCAUAAACAAGAAGUUCACAGUUACAAAGUUUGAAUCUUUGUAACUGUAACUCUCUUUUGAAACUCUCUUCUUGGUCUUCAAUAUCCGUUAGCUAGCUGGAGAUGUAACAGUUACAAAGUUUGAAUCUUUGUAACUGUAACUCUCUUCUUGGUCUUCAAUGUCUGUCAGUUACAAAGUUUGAAUCUUUGUAACUGUAACUCUCUUAUGCUUAACAUUCCCCUGCAAACUGAUGGGGAUAGGAAUCACCAUCAAUUUGGACCGUAAAAACAUAAACCUUGCUGUAGUAUGACCUUUGGUGAAGACAUCUGCAAUCUGGUCAUAUGUUGAAAUAUAUCGUACAAGAAUAUCCUUAUUAAGAACUUUUUCACGGAUGAAGUGAUAAUCCACCUCUAUGUGCUUCGUUCGGGCAUGAAAAACAGGAUUAGAGGCAAGAGAUAUUGCACCUACAUUAUCACACCAUAGUGUAGGAGGUGACGACAAUGAAAUGCCAAGAUCUUGCAAUAACAUUCGAAGCCAAUAUAGUUCAGCAGUGACAAGAGCCAUGGAUCGAUAUUCGGCCUCAGUACUGGAUUUAGACACAACACUUUGUUUCUUUGCACUCCAGGAUAUGAGAUUUUGGCCUAGAAACACAAUAUAACCACUUGUAGAUUUUCUAUCAUCAGGAUUCCCAGCCCAAUCUGCAUCACAGAAAGCAUCUAAUGUUGUUGUCGAUUGAGUGUAGUGAAUACCAUAAUCAAUUGUUCCUUUCAAGUAACGAAGAACUCUUUUGGUAGCAAUCCAGUGUGGUUCUCGUGGAGCAUGCAUGAAUUGGCAUAAUUGGUUCACUGCAUAGCUGAUGUCAGGUCUUGUUAAAGUGCAAUAUUGAAGAGCACCAAUAACUUGAUGAUAUUCAGUUGGAUCAUUCAAUAUCCGUUAGCUAGCUGGAGAUGUAACAGUUACAAAGUUUGAAUCUUUGUAACUGUAACUCUCUUAUGCUUAACAUUUGGGAGGCACUUAGAUUAGGCUCUUCUCUAGUCUUGAGAAGCAAAACCAAUAGAGACGUGAUUGCGCACUCCCUGAGCUAUAUAGUAAGUGGCUGCAAACAAAUUGUCAGCACCAAUUCAGGUCCGGAAAAUUAAAGCAUUGAAGCAUAAAAGGUGACCUAACCUAAUUAAGCAAAUUACUACUUAUUCCAGCAUCACCUAGGAGUGAGACAGCCAGCCCAUCCAGUGUCUACAUGGUAAGGGAAUAAUUCCUUCAAGAAUGCAGAGAAAAUUAUACUUGCAAUACAACUAUAAACGAGAUGGUACAGUGCGGAAGGCAAGAUGUUAAAUCAAUUGAUCUUAUUAUAAUACUGUGAAAUAUGAUCAGGACAAAAAAAUAAAUAAAGAAAGAAAGAGUUGUUUAUUUUACAAUGAUCGAUAUGAUGCUUCUUUGCAUGUGGAAUCUUCGUCAAAGACUUGUUGAAAAUGCCAAAUUGUGAUCCACUUUUGGCUGUGUCAAAUGCAUGGGUGGGGCUUCACACAGAGCUAUUACCCCUUGUGUAAACUCAACGCCAGUUUUCAUGAGUUCUUUGGGAUUCUAACAUAGUAAAAAAAAGAAAGAUAAAAUAACAAAGUGUAAAGAAUAUUUAGUGAAAUAGAUAUUCGUGAUUAAUCAGUAGCAAUUAUUAUAUGCUGGCUCUCUCGGGUUUACUUGACAGAAGAUUUAUUAAAAAGAGUUGAUAAAGGAGAAAGAAAAGAAAAGAAAAUCUUCAAGGUAUAUCAAAACUCUGAUAAUAAUAUUAUUGGUAUUGUUAAAAAAAUCUCGACAAGACAAAUCGAAAAAUAACAAUGAAGGUCAUCAAUGACGAUAAAAAUAAGUCAUACGAGUGGCCCAAGAUAAGUGAGUUUUAAUACUUUUGAACAGCUUGUAUGAUUCAUUUUAUUCACUAUUUAUAAUCUUUUUUGAUGCUGUUAAAUUCAUCUUGUAAUGAUGUUGAUAAUGUUAUCAUUAUAAUUUCAAUGUAUUUUUAUUUUUAUUAUUAUUUUUUGUUUUGCUCUCUCUCCUCUCUCAUUGUAAUUUAUGAAGAGUAAGAGAGGGGGAAAAAAAAAACCCUAGUCUUCCAAUUUAAUCUGGCUGAAUACUACUAUCUCAAUCUUAUUCACUACUUUGUCAAAGCAAAGUAGAUUUUUCCUUAAAUAAGAUCUAAUCCACCGGCGGAUAGGUGAUCAAGAAUAUUAAAUUAGUGUAAAACUUGAUUUAAUUCAACAUUAUAAUUAGAGGUGCUAUAAUAAUGUGAAAAAAAGAAUAAAAAAACUAGAUGAUGGCGACCACAUAUCAAUAAUUCCAGACAUCACGUGGAGCACUUUCAUCAUCAUUAUUAUUAUUGGUAUAAUAAUGUUUGUUGUAUUAUUUUUUAAUUGUUAAGUUGUUUACUAUAUGUUAAAAUUUCAAGAUCUUCAAAGAUUGGGAAGAUCGGAUCUAAAGUUACUAUGGGACUGUCUUUAUUUUCCUAUUUGGAUUUUUUUAUUUAUAUUAAGAAUUUAAAUUUAAUUAGUAUUUUAUUAUUUAAAAAUUUUAAUGGUAAAUUGAUUCUAUUAGUUAGGUAAAUUUUAAAUAUAAAUUAUUUUUCUAUACAAAAUUUUAAAUCUAGAACUAAUAUAAAUAAAAAUAUUUAGUUUAUUUUUGUUCGAGGAUUCAUAUUAUUAUUUAAAUUUUUUUAUAAAUAUUUAGAGAUUUUUUCUAAUUUCCUAUGGUGUUAGGGAUUAUAACCUUAAGGUUUGGUUUGAAAUAAUGAUGACAGUUAUUUCUUAAAGUGUUUUUCACUUGAAAAUACAUUAAAAUAAUAUUUUUUUUAUUUUUUAAAUUUUUUUUUGAUAUCAGCAUAUCAAAACAAUUCAAAAACACCAAAAACUUAAUUUGAAAAAAAAUCAAAAUUUAUAAAAACCCCGGUUAAAAUGUUUUACCAAACACUUCUUAGUUUUUAAUAUUAAUACAUCAAAACAAUCCAAAAAUAUUAAUUUAAAAUUUUUAAAAACUCCGGUUGCGUUUGUAAGAUGUGUUGCGGCUCUCAACUUGCUACAAUGGCCUUUCUUUAAUAUUUUAUUUACACCAUUCAUGGAACCCUCUUUGCCUUCCACACAAAUCCCGGAUUUUGGUGAAACUGCUAAGAGGAAAAAUGAAGAGCUUUCCAAAGGCCAUGCUAAAACUACAAAGAAGUGAUCUCUACCUUUCCAGAAGUUAAAGGCUUUUGGGACGUUCCGCUCUUCUUGGGAAGACUCAUGUCAGUUCAAGAACACUACAAGCCUCAAUCCACUGAUAUAUUUGUCGCCAGCUUUCCAAAAACGAAGGAAAUCUUUGGUUAAUGUUCUCUGAAUCUCUCCUUUUCUCCUUCAAGAGUGAAAUUUAUGUGCCUUUCGUACCUUUUUACGUUAGAACAUUUCAUUUGUUCUUGUUUUCUAAAUUGAGUCUUUUCUAUGCGUUUUAUUAUUUUAUUUAUUGGGUAUUUGAGAGUGUAGUAAUAGUUAUAAUUUAAAGUGUUUUUAUUCAAAAAUAUAUUAAAAUAAUAUAUAUUUUUAAUUUUUUAAUAUUCAUCUUUUGACAACAUCACUCCAAAACAUUAGAAAACAUAAAAAAAAAAAAAACAAUUAGAAAACAAUUAGAAAACGCAAGAUUGCAUCAAUGCUAAAUGCAAUAUAUAUAUAUAGGUGCGCGCGCGCGCGUGUGUGAGAGAGAGAGAGAUCCACCUGUGUGUGAAAUGCAUAGUGAUGUUCCACAGCGAGCCAUUAUCUAUUAUGUAAAAUCUCUGAGAAAUGUCAUAGAUCAAUUGGUCGAUAUAGCAAAUUGAUAGGUUAAAGCUGCUCAUAAUCAAUACCUCUAAAAGAUUAUCUUUGGUGGAGAUGAAAACUUUUUGAUAUGUAAAUAAGUAUUUAAAAAAAAAUUAAAUAUUCUAUAAAGAGAUGUUCUGAAAAUACAAAUGCAGUAGAGAAUUGGAGAUUGUGAAUCUUUAUUAUGAAGGUCUCAUGAUAUAUUUAUAGCUCGAAUCUUGUCAUUUUGUGAAAAUAAGAGUUUGCAGUGUAAUUAACCUGAUAACAUUUAAUGAGGAAUAAAUAUCAUUUACAUGAUGGGAAUAUGGUGGGUCCUCGAAGGAGUUUUAUACACCUUAAAAGGUAUCAGAAAAUUAGAGUUUAAGAUAUCAAGUGUAGCUGAGCUUAUAGAGAUCAAGUUCUUUCUUGAGAUUAAAUCCAAGGGAGGUUUGUCAUUCCCCUGGACAUGCCAAGGAAGAAUGGUUAUUAUCUUGGACUUGGUUGGUUGCCAAAUCCAAGCAUCUUGGGCAUGACAUGCGUGCCAGAUCCACACUACCUUGAAGUUGGAGCACUACUAAGUCCAAGCGCCUCGGGUCUGACAUGCAUGCCAGACUUAUACUACGCUGGACUUGGUGCAUUACUAAGUCCAAAUGCCUUGGGUCUGAUAUGCCUGUUAGACCUAUAUUAUCUUGGGCUUGACGCAUUACUAUAUUCAAGCACCUUGAACUUAAUUAAUUGUCAAGUCCAUGCAUCUUAGAUUUAGAUCUAACAUAUACACUAGACUCAUAUUACAUUGAAUCUAGCGCAUUACAAAGUUAUAAUGCCUUGAAUUAAGUAUAUGUGCCACAUCCAUACAUUUUAAAAAACCAAACGAAAACUAAAUAAAAAGUUGACUCAUCGCUAAUCUAUAAAUACUAUCUACAUAAUGGCCUUAGUUGAUAUCUUCUACCGCUUACUACAUUUACUUGAAUAAUGAAAAUGUUUUUUUUUUUUAAUGGAAAAGAGAUUUUAACUCCAUCUUCAAUUACUAUAUAAAUGUUUCCUUGGGUUUUGAAAACGCAAUCAUGCUAAAAAUUUAUUAUCUAAUAUAAAAUAAAAUGUAUUUGUUUUUAUAUUUUAAAAAUGUUUUUUUUUUAAUUUUUUAAUUUUCAUCUUGUUUUGAUGUGUUAAUAUUAAUAAUAAAUUUUAAAAAUAAAAAAAAUAUUAUUUUAAUAUAUUUUUUAAAUUAAAAAUAUUUUAAAAAAUAACUAUUACAACAUUAACGAAUAAGAUUUAAUAUAAAAAACAUUCUAAUUGCAUCAGCUGAGAGGUGAUCAACAAUACCGCAUUCCCGAACUUCACAUCCCUAUAUUAAUGGAUUGUGUUGUGGGCUCCACGCCAUUUAAAGCUUGUAAGAGAAACCACACCUCUAAAUAGAAACCACACGAUCACGCUAAAAGAUUUGCUAUCGAAUAUAAUAUGAAAUAAAACCCAAUUGCAUCAGCGGACAUGUGAUCAAUAAUAUUAAAAUAAGGUAAUAGUUGAUGGGCCACAAAUUAAACCAGCUCUCAACUCGCUACAAAUAGCUGCCAUGGCCUUUCAUUCUACGUUAUAUUUUCAUUUUUUACAUUCAUGGAAUCCUCUUUGCCUUCCACCCAAAUCUCGGAUUCUGGUGACAGUGCAGAGAGGAAAAAUGAAGCUAAAAAUUACAAUGAAGUGAUGUCCACCUUUCCGAAAGUUAAAGGCUUGAAUGGGUAUGAUUAUUACCUGUACCAAGGCUUUUGGUACGCUCCCUUCUUCUUGGAAGGACUCUUGUCUGUUCAAGAGCGCUUCAAUCCUCAAUCCACUGAUAUAUUUGUCGCCAGUUGUCCAAAAACUGGCACAACUUGGCUUAAGGCCCUCACUUUUGCUAUUUUCACACGAUCCCGUUUAAGUGGUUCAACAACUAGUUCUUUACUUACCAAGAUGCCACAUGACUGUGUUCCUUUUUUGGAAUAUCACCUUGCUCAAAACCCCAGUAAUCGGGACUUGGCAAUUCCUCUGGUAUCUACUCAUGUUCCUUGCACUUGUUUACCUAAAUCUAUCAUUUCUUCUUGUUGCAAGAUUAUUUACAUUUCCAGGGACGCAAAGGAUGCUUUUGUUUCUUUGUGGUACUUUCUUGCCAGGCUGCAAAUGUCGAAAAAUGUUGAACCUCUUCCUCUGGAAGAGGCAUUUGAGUUGUUUUGCAAUGGAAUUGCAAAUUUUGGACCAUAUUGGGACCAUGUUUUAGGGUAUUGGAGAGCAAGCUUC
rnacentral:lncRNA from 1 species